CUCUCUCUCCUACUCUCUACUGUCAUACCACCACCACCACCACCACCAUAAAUCCCCACAACUUGUACUAGCAAAAGGAGUUAUCCCAGCAACACUUCAAUAAAAACAAAACCUCCAAAUCGCCUUCAAAUCUAAAUCUCUAUCUCUCUCUCACUCAAACACACACAACACCACUUCGUUGCAACAACGAAGCCACCAUGGUUGGACGAUCCAACAGACAGUCACAUCUGAAAAUCAUGUAAAUUUUGUCAUGGAUUUCUUUCAUCAGUAAUCAUCAUCGGAUCUAAUUUUGUACCAAAAUUUCGCUGUAAUGAAGAAGAUGAUGAAAUGGGUCUGAACACUUUGGAGUUGGAUCUAAGGUUUAUAUUUAGGAUUUUCUGUAAAUCCCAUAAUGAUGAUGGUGAUGAAGAUGACGGUAAUUCUCGAUUUAUGGUUGCUGAUUGAAUGAUUGUGGCGACGAGUUUUUUUGUAUCGAGGAGGGGAUCUGGUGUAUGUCUAGAUCUAGGGUUAGAUUUCGCAUCGAAGAAAAGUUCCAUCUUCAUUUUUGGGUGUCAAAGCCUGCUUCAUUUGGGGAUUUUUUGGAGCGAUUCUUUUCAACAAAAAAUAUUUGUUUUGAAAUGAAUGUUGGUAAUGUAGAGGUGGCUUUGGGUGGAUGUUUAAGGGUGGUGUUGAUGGAGUUGGUGGCCGCGUCGGCUAUUUGAGGUGAUGUUAUAUUAAUGUUUUUAUUUUUCUUUUGCUAUUAUAUAAUGCUGUAUUGUAUUUUUUACACUUAAAAUGAUUUAUAAUAAUUUCAUAAAAUGAUUUAUAUUAAUUACAAUUUGAGUAUUUUUUUUAACCCAUCACCUUUUACAUGACAUUUGUUUAAGUUAUUUCAUCAAUUUAUUACGUUAUAAUUUUAAUUAUAUUAUAGUAAAAAAAAUUAAUAAUUUAAUAAUAAAAAUUAAAAGAUCAAAUUAUUGAAGUGAAAAAAAUGUCAAUAACAUAAUUAGAGGGAAUGAAAUUAUUAUCAUUGUGGUGUGAACAUACAAUACAAGGAGGAUGAUUUUGAGUGUAUAUAUAGGCGAGUUUGUGUUUGUGACGCGAACACGUGUUAAGGAAACAUCAGGCUGGCGGGGCCCAAGUGUUUGUAACGCGAACACGUGUUAAGGAAACAGCAGGCUGGGCGGGCCCGAAGGGGGGUGUGUUAAGGAAACAGCAUGUUGGUCUGGGCGGGGCGGGAGCUUGGUAUGAAUAAGAAGUGUAGAAAGAAACAAUUAUUCAUCCAGCUGUAAUUCUGUGGGACAAAUUCUUUGCUUACUUUUGGCUAACACCUGUGAGAUUUUUGGGGUGACGUGGCAGUGGCUACUUGAUGUUUAACUCUAUCUCCAUUUUAGUCCUUUUGACUCACAAGUAUGUAUAUCCAAUUCAUGCAAAUUAAGAAAUCACUAGGGCGGGCGGGCAGGCAGGCAGGUAUACUGAGGUAAGUAGAUGUUUUAUACUCCUGUCCUUGUGCAAAUACUAAUAUUUUAUUCAUUUUAGAUAAUUAUUUUUGAUCAAAACAUAAUUUACAAUAUGUGGAAAACGAGAUAACACC
rnacentral:lncRNA from 1 species